GCCGAUGUAGCUUAAGCAAAGCAUAGCACUGAAAAUGCUAAGACAGGCUUAAUACGCCUCACCCGCA
rnacentral:tRNA from 1 species